rnacentral:rRNA from 1 species
CAGUAGCCGCGGGAAAACGGAGGGUGCAAGCGUUAAUCGGAAUUACUGGGCGUAAAGCGCACGCAGGCGGUCUGACAAGUCAGAUGUGAAAUCCCCGGGCUUAACCUGGGAACUGCAUUUGAAACUGUCAGGCUGGAGUCUUGUAGAGGGGGGUGGAAUUCCAGGUGUAGCGGUGAAAUGCGUAGAGAUCUGGAGGAAUACCGGUGGCGAAGGCGGCCCCCUGGACAAAGACUGACGCUCAGGUGCGAAAGCGUGGGGAGCAAACAGGAUUAGAGACCCCAGUAGUCCCUGUCUCUUAUAC